rnacentral:rRNA from 1 species
AUCUCGCGGCCUAUCAGCUUGUUGGUGAGGUAAUGGCUCACCAAGGCGACGACGGGUAGCCGGCCUGAGAGGGUGACCGGCCACACUGGGACUGAGACACGGCCCAGACUCCUACGGGAGGCAGCAGUGGGGAAUAUUGCACAAUGGGCGAAAGCCUGAUGCAGCGACGCCGCGUGAGGGAUGACGGCCUUCGGGUUGUAAACCUCUUUCAGUAGGGAAGAAGCGAAAGUGACGGUACCUGCAGAAGAAGCGCCGGCUAACUACGUGCCAGCAGCCGCGGUAAUACGUAGGGCGCAAGCGUUAUCCGGAAUUAUUGGGCGUAAAGAGCUCGUAGGCGGUUUGUCGCGUCUGCCGUGAAAGUCCGGGGCUCAACUCCGGAUCUGCGGUGGGUACGGGCAGACUAGAGUGAUGUAGGGGAGACUGGAAUUCCUGGUGUAGCGGUGAAAUGCGCAGAUAUCAGGAGGAACACCGAUGGCGAAGGCAGGUCUCUGGGCAUUAACUGACGCUGAGGAGCGAAAGCAUGGGGAGCGAACAGGAUUAGAUACCCUGGUAGUCCAUGCCGUAAACGUUGGGCACUAGGUGUGGGGGACAUUCCACGUUUUCCGCGCCGUAGCUAACGCAUUAAGUGCCCCGCCUGGGGAGUACGGAAGCUUGGAAUUCG